rnacentral:rRNA from 1 species
CGACGGGUGAGUAACGCGUAGGAAUCUACCCAGUAGCGGGGGAUAGCCCGGGGAAACCCGGAUUAAUACCGCAUACGCCCCACGGGGAAAGCAGGGGAUCUUCGGACCUUGCACUAUUGGAUGAGCUGCGUCGGAUUAGCUAGUUGGUGGGGUAAAGGCCUACCAAGGCGACGAUCCGUAGCUGGUCUGAGAGGAUGAUCAGCCACACCGGGACUGAGACACGGCCCGGACUCCUACGGGAGGCAGCAGUGGGGAAUAUUGGACAAUGGGGGCAACCCUGAUCCAGCCAUGCCGCGUGUGUGAAGAAGGCUUUCGGGUUGUAAAGCACUUUCAGUGAGGAGGAAAUGGUGGCGGCUAAUACCCGUUACAAUUGACGUUACUCACAGAAGAAGCACCGGCUAACUCCGUGCCAGCAGCCGCGGUAAUACGGAGGGUGCAAGCGUUAAUCGGAAUUACUGGGCGUAAAGCGCGCGUAGGCGGCUAAAUCAGUCGGGUGUGAAAGCCCCGGGCUCAACCUGGGAACUGCAUUCGAUACUGUUUAGCUAGAGUAUGGGAGAGGGUAGUGGAAUUCCACGUGUAGCGGUGAAAUGCGUAGAUAUGUGGAGGAACACCCGUGGCGAAGGCGACUGCCUGGCCCAAUACUGACGCUGAGGUGCGAAAGCGUGGGUAGCGAACAGGAUUAGAUACCCUGGUAGUCCACGCCGUAAACGAUGUCAACUAGCCGUUGGAGGACUUGAUCUUUUAGUGGCGCAGCUAACGCGAUAAGUUGACCGCCUGGGGAGUACGGCC